AACGAACGCUGGCGGCAGGCCUAACACAUGCAAGUCGAGCGCGACCUUCGGGUUGAGCGGCGGACGGGUUAGUAACGCGUGGGAACGUGCCUUUCUCUACGGAAUAGCCUCGGGAAACUGAGAGUAAUACCGUAUACGCCCUUCGGGGAAAGAUUUAUCGGAGAGAGAUCGGCCCGCGUUAGAUUAGAUAGUUGGUGGGGUAAUGGCCUACCAAGUCUACGAUCUAUAGCUGGUUUUAGAGGAUGAUCAGCAACACUGGGACUGAGACACGGCCCAGACUCCUACGGGAGGCAGCAGUGGGGAAUCUUAGACAAUGGGCGCAAGCCUGAUCUAGCCAUGCCGCGUGAGUGAUGAAGGCCUUAGGGUCGUAAAGCUCUUUCGCCAGGGAUGAUAAUGACAGUACCUGGUAAAGAAACCCCGGCUAACUCGUGCCAGCCGCCGCGGUAAU
rnacentral:rRNA from 1 species